CAAGAAGUAUGGACCUGUAAUGUACCUCAAAAUGGGAACCUGCAACAUGGUGGUGGCUUCAACCCCGGAUGCCGCUCGAGCUUUCCUUAAGACCCUUGACUUGAAUUUCUCUAAUCGACCAUCCAAUGCUGGUGCCACCCACAUAGCCUAUAACUCUCAAGACAUGGUGUUUGCGGAGUAUGGUCCGAGGUGGAAAUUGCUUCGUAAACUGAGUAACCUCCACAUGCUUGGUGGCAAAGCCCUUGAGGAUUGGUCCCAAGUCCGGGCUGUUGAGCUAGGCCAUAUGCUUCGGGCCAUGUGCGAGUCUAGCCGAAAGGGUGAGCCAGUGGUGGUGCCGGAAAUGUUGACGUAUGCCAUGGCCAACAUG
rnacentral:lncRNA from 1 species